AAUUGUUCGCAAUGGGCGCAAGCCUGACGACGCAACGCCGCGUGGAGGAUGAAGACCUUCGGGUCGUAAACUCCUUUCGAUCGAGACGAAUUCCUCUGGGGUGAACAAUCCUGGAGGUUGACGGUACCGAGAGAAGAAGCCCCGGCUAACUUCGUGCCAGCAGCCGCGGUAAUACGAAGGGUGCAAACGUUGCUCGGAAUCAUUGGGCGUAAAGCGCACGUAGGCGGCCUCGCAAGUCUGAUGUGAAAUCCCUCGGCUCAACCGAGGACGUGCAUCGGAAACUGCGGGGCUUGAGUACUGAAGAGGAUCGCGGAAUUCCCGGUGUAGAGGUGAAAUUCGUAGAUAUCGGGAGGAACACCAGUGGCGAAGGCGGCGAUCUGGGCAGAUACUGACGCUGAGGUGCGAAAGCGUGGGGAGCAAAC
rnacentral:rRNA from 1 species